GGCCUGAUAGCACAGCUGGGUAGUGCCUCUCCUAAGAUCUUUCGAACUUCAGCAUGAACGAGAAGAUCCCCGUUCGAGCCGGGGUCAGGUCA